GAUGAACGCUGGCGGCGUGCCUAAUACAUGCAAGUCGAGCGAACAGACGAGGAGCUUGCUCCUCUGACGUUAGCGGCGGACGGGUGAGUAACACGUGGAUAACCUACCUAUAAGACUGGGAUAAAUUCGGGAAACCGGAGCUAAUACCGGAUAAUAUAUUGAACCGCAUGGUUCAAUAGUGAAAGACGGUUUUGCUGUCACUUAUAGAUGGAUCCGCGCCGCAUUAGCUAGUUGGUAAGGUAACGGCUUACCAAGGCAACGAUGCGUAGCCGACCUGAGAGGGUGAUCGGCCACACUGGAACUGAGACACGGUCCAGACUCCUACGGGAGGCAGCAGUAGGGAAUCUUCCGCAAUGGGCGAAAGCCUGACGGAGCAACGCCGCGUGAGUGAUGAAGGUCUUCGGAUCGUAAAACUCUGUUAGUAUGGAAGAACAAAUGUGUAAGUAACUAUGCACGUCUUGACGGUACCUAAUCAGAAAGCCACGGCUAACUACGUG
rnacentral:rRNA from 1 species